GGGUUGUGAGGUUAAGCGACUAAGCGUACACGGUGGAUGCCCUGGCAGUCAGAGGCGAUGAAGGACGUGCUAAUCUGCGAUAAGCGUCGGUAAGGUGAUAUGAACCGUUAUAACCGGCGAUUUCCGAAUGGGGAAACCCAGUGUGAUUCGUCACACUAUCAUUAACUGAAUCCAUAGGUUAAUGAGGCGAACCGGGGGAACUGAAACAUCUAAGUACCCCGAGGAAAAGAAAUCAACCGAGAUUCCCCCAGUAGCGGCGAGCGAACGGGGAGCAGCCCAGAGCCUGAAUCAGUGUGUGUGUUAGUGGAAGCGUCUGGAAAGGCGCGCGAUACAGGGUGACAGCCCCGUACACAAAAAUGCACAUAUUGUGAGCUCGAUGAGUAGGGCGGGACACGUGGUAUCCUGUCUGAAUAUGGGGGGCCCAUCCUCCAAGGCUAAAUACUCCUGACUGACCGAUAGUGAACCAGUACCGUGAGGGAAAGGCGAAAAGAACCCCGGCGAGGGGAGUGAAAAAGAACCUGAAACCGUGUACGUACAAGCAGUGGGAGCACGCUUAGGCGUGUGACUGCGUACCUUUUGUAUAAUGGGUCAGCGACUUAUAUUCUGUAGCAAGGUUAACCGAAUAGGGGAGCCGAAGGGAAACCGAGUCUUAACUGGGCGUUAAGUUGCAGGGUAUAGACCCGAAACCCGGUGAUCUAGCCAUGGGCAGGUUGAAGGUUGGGUAACACUAACUGGAGGACCGAACCGACUAAUGUUGAAAAAUUAGCGGAUGACUUGUGGCUGGGGGUGAAAGGCCAAUCAAACCGGGAGAUAGCUGGUUCUCCCCGAAAGCUAUUUAGGUAGCGCCUCGUGAAUUCAUCUCCGGGGGUAGAGCACUGUUUCGGCAAGGGGGUCAUCCCGACUUACCAACCCGAUGCAAACUGCGAAUACCGGAGAAUGUUAUCACGGGAGACACACGGCGGGUGCUAACGUCCGUCGUGAAGAGGGAAACAACCCAGACCGCCAGCUAAGGUCCCAAAGUCAUGGUUAAGUGGGAAACGAUGUGGGAAGGCCCAGACAGCCAGGAUGUUGGCUUAGAAGCAGCCAUCAUUUAAAGAAAGCGUAAUAGCUCACUGGUCGAGUCGGCCUGCGCGGAAGAUGUAACGGGGCUAAACCAUGCACCGAAGCUGCGGCAGCGACGCUUAUGCGUUGUUGGGUAGGGGAGCGUUCUGUAAGCCUGCGAAGGUGUGCUGUGAGGCAUGCUGGAGGUAUCAGAAGUGCGAAUGCUGACAUAAGUAACGAUAAAGCGGGUGAAAAGCCCGCUCGCCGGAAGACCAAGGGUUCCUGUCCAACGUUAAUCGGGGCAGGGUGAGUCGACCCCUAAGGCGAGGCCGAAAGGCGUAGUCGAUGGGAAACAGGUUAAUAUUCCUGUACUUGGUGUUACUGCGAAGGGGGGACGGAGAAGGCUAUGUUGGCCGGGCGACGGUUGUCCCGGUUUAAGCGUGUAGGCUGGUUUUCCAGGCAAAUCCGGAAAAUCAAGGCUGAGGCGUGAUGACGAGGCACUACGGUGCUGAAGCAACAAAUGCCCUGCUUCCAGGAAAAGCCUCUAAGCAUCAGGUAACAUCAAAUCGUACCCCAAACCGACACAGGUGGUCAGGUAGAGAAUACCAAGGCGCUUGAGAGAACUCGGGUGAAGGAACUAGGCAAAAUGGUGCCGUAACUUCGGGAGAAGGCACGCUGAUAUGUAGGUGAAGUCCCUUGCGGAUGGAGCUGAAAUCAGUCGAAGAUACCAGCUGGCUGCAACUGUUUAUUAAAAACACAGCACUGUGCAAACACGAAAGUGGACGUAUACGGUGUGACGCCUGCCCGGUGCCGGAAGGUUAAUUGAUGGGGUCAGCGCAAGCGAAGCUCUUGAUCGAAGCCCCGGUAAACGGCGGCCGUAACUAUAACGGUCCUAAGGUAGCGAAAUUCCUUGUCGGGUAAGUUCCGACCUGCACGAAUGGCGUAAUGAUGGCCAGGCUGUCUCCACCCGAGACUCAGUGAAAUUGAACUCGCUGUGAAGAUGCAGUGUACCCGCGGCAAGACGGAAAGACCCCGUGAACCUUUACUAUAGCUUGACACUGAACAUUGAGCCUUGAUGUGUAGGAUAGGUGGGAGGCUUUGAAGUGUGGACGCCAGUCUGCAUGGAGCCGGCCUUGAAAUACCACCCUUUAAUGUUUGAUGUUCUAACGUGGACCCGUGAUCCGGGUUGCGGACAGUGUCUGGUGGGUAGUUUGACUGGGGCGGUCUCCUCCUAAAGAGUAACGGAGGAGCACGAAGGUUGGCUAAUCCUGGUCGGACAUCAGGAGGUUAGUGCAAUGGCAUAAGCCAGCUUGACUGCGAGCGUGACGGCGCGAGCAGGUGCGAAAGCAGGUCAUAGUGAUCCGGUGGUUCUGAAUGGAAGGGCCAUCGCUCAACGGAUAAAAGGUACUCCGGGGAUAACAGGCUGAUACCGCCCAAGAGUUCAUAUCGACGGCGGUGUUUGGCACCUCGAUGUCGGCUCAUCACAUCCUGGGGCUGAAGUAGGUCCCAAGGGUAUGGCUGUUCGCCAUUUAAAGUGGUACGCGAGCUGGGUUUAGAACGUCGUGAGACAGUUCGGUCCCUAUCUGCCGUGGGCGCUGGAGAACUGAGGGGGGGCUGCUCCUAGUACGAGAGGACCGGAGUGGACGCAUCACUGGUGUUCGGGUUGUCAUGCCAAUGGCACUGCCCGGUAGCUAAAUGCGGAAGAGAUAAGUGCUGAAAGCAUCUAAGCACGAAACUUGCCCCGAGAUGAGUUCUCCCUGACCCUUUAAGGGUCCUGAAGGAACGUUGAAGACGACGACGUUGAUAGGCCGGGUGUGUAAGCGCAGCGAUGCGUUGAGCUAACCGGUACUAAUGAACCGUGAGGCUUAACCUUACAACGCCGAAG
rnacentral:rRNA from 1 species